CUGCAUGAAGCUGGAAUCGCUAGUAAUCGCGGAUCAGAAUGCCGCGGUGAAUACGUUCCCGGGUCUUGUACACACCGCCCGUCACACCAUGGGAGUCGGGAAUGCCCGAAGUCAGUGACCCAACCGAAAGGGGGGAGCUGCCGAAGGCAGGCCUGGUAACUGGGGUGAAGUCGUAACAAGGUAUC
rnacentral:rRNA from 1 species